GCGGGUGUGGUUCAGUGGCAGAACAUAUCCUUGCCAUGGAUAAGACGGGAGUUCGAUUCUCCUCACCCGCUCAA
rnacentral:tRNA from 1 species